UCUCCGUUGGUGAACCAGCGGAGGGAUCAUUACCGAGUUUACAACUCCCAAACCCCUGUGAACAUACCUAUCGUUGCCUCGGCGGUGCCCGCUCCGGCGGCCCGCCAGAGGACCCCCAGACUCUUGUUUUAUACAGUAUCUUCUGGGUAACACGAUUAAAUAAAUCAAAACUUUCAACAACGGAUCUCUGGGUUCUG
rnacentral:misc_RNA from 1 species